ensembl:lncRNA
CCAGAAUUGGAGCUCAUAUCUUUGGCAGCUGUAAAGUUUCUGCUCCUUCAAAGUUCACAACACAGUGAAUGAAUUCCUAAAAUACUCAAUGCUGGAGAGCAUUUGUGAUGCUGAAGCAGUGACCAGUUUUUCUGUUUCUUCUCUGGAGAUGCACAAUGAGGGACGUCUGCAGAGACUGAGAAAGAGUCUCACCACAUCCUGACAUGAGGAAAAAGACUUUAUUGAAGACUGCAAUGAGAAAAACUAUCAGACAGCAGACGGCUGCAUUCAAGGCUACAGGAGGAGCCCUACGAGGACGAGCUGGUCCACCUGAUGGCGGCCAGUCGCUGCGGUUCAAAGCCAACACCGACUACGUGGACUUCUACUGGACCACACGGAGGCCUUCAAACUGGACCAACAAGUUCAGCGACUCCCCGACUCGUGGGUCUGAGGACGCCGCCGAGCCUCGGUCCAGCCGGCCUCCUGUCUGUGGGUGUUUGAGUGCUGAGAGACCUGACCGUGAACACCGUUGACACCCACCUGAGGGAGACGCUGCCUAAGAUCUCAAGGCUGCUUGGUCGUGGUCUUUCUGGUCCUGCUCCAGAACGCCUUCAUCAACUAUGUCUUCUUUUGAAGAGGCCCUCAGAUGCU